rnacentral:rRNA from 1 species
UACGUAGGGUGCGAGCGUUAUUCGGAAUUACUGGGCGUAAAGCGUGCGCAGGCGGUUUUGUAAGCCAGAUGUGAAAGCCCCGGGCUUAACCUGGGAAUGGCAUUUGGGACUGCAAGGCUGGAGUGUGGCAGAGGAGACUGGAAUUCCUGGUGUAGCAGUGAAAUGCGUAGAUAUCAGGAGGAAUACCGAUGGCGAAGGCAGGUCUCUGGGCUAACACUGACGCUCAUGCACGAAAGCGUGGGGAGCAAACAGG